ACAUGCCUACAACAUAGCGUUAAUGCAUCGGAUCCCAUUAGAACUCCGUAGUUAAGUGUGCUCAAGAUAGAGUAUUUCUGGGAUGGGUGACCGCCUAAGAAGUCUUAGUGUUUUACAUGCC
rfam:Picea glauca, whole genome shotgun sequence.